UGCAAAAAUUUGGAUAAUGCACUCCAUGGUUUGGCUUCAUCAACAAGCACAGAACAAGCAUUUCCCUUCUUGAUUUUCUACAGGACCCAUUAAGGCUUUUUUCUGAUAAAUUUUCAGUACAAUUCUAUCUGAUAAUAACCAUCUGCAUUUGACAAAUAAUACAGAACUCUAUGGGCUAAUUUUUAACACAAGAAUUCCCCAAACAUGACAACUCAACUCAACUCAACUAAGCCUUUAUCCCAAAAAUUUAGGGUCGGCUCCCAAGCAUGACAAUAACCAUAAAUUAAAGUUUCCAAAUAAUGACUGCAUUUUUAUACACAACAGAAAAGCAAAAUUAAAGAACAGAAUAGGCACGUUCUCAGUUUCAACUAUGUACCUGUUCCAGCAGCUUGUGCCCACUUGAUAGUUGAACGGGCCAAUGCAUCGAUUGGAUCAAUACAUUUCUUGAGAAGAGGAUCAUCCUGAGGCAAAAGAUCACACAGAUCAUCAGAGGCAAGGAUAACAGUAUUCACUGCCCUCACUAGAAGAACCUGGACUGCUAUUCUCAGCAGAUUCCUUGCCCCUUUCAUAUCCCUUCUGUUUAAAGCUUCAAUUGCAGGAAUUACAGCGUGUUCCAUGGUUGCUUUAUCUGGUAGCACAACCUCAAACCCCUCGCACUGCAGUUUCUCUUGAUAGAAACCCGCAUUCAAAGUAGCAUGGGUUGCUAGCACCCCAAUCCGCAAAGGACUUCCUGCUUCUAGUGGCUUCAGCUUAGCUUCCUUAAGCUCCUUAGCAACACACUCACCCAUAUGAAGUAAAUGAACAGAACUCCCCUUUGAGAUCUCAUCAUGCCAAGCAUGUGAAAUAUGACAAGGCAUUACAAUACAGUGAGCUCCUGAUUUCUCAAGAAAAAAAUCAGGAGCUCACUGUAGAUUCUCCAAAAUUGGAGUAUGAUCCAAUUGAGAAUGUUCAUUUCCCCUACCAAGAGAGGGAAAAGACUCUCUUUCAUGUAAUAAAAGCUUCUUAUUUAACACUGGAUCAGAGCAAAGAACAAAUGGAAAGCAAUCUUGACCAUCUUUUGUACUCCACUGGACUACUUUUUUCAGGAAAUUCAGAGAAGAAUUUGCUGAUAUUCCUCCUAAUAUACCAACAGUAUUUGCUUGACUAACCAACGAAUCAGAAGAGCCACUGCCAUUCUCAUCUGUGUGCAAGACAGUUGAUGAUGAGGGUAUGGCUAGAACUGGCUUCAACCUUGCCUUACGUGUUUUAUGAGAAUUUACAUGACUGAAUGCAUAAGAUGGGUAAUUCAACGCGUAGAACAUCUCAUAAACCAAAAAAAAGAAAAUAAAGCAGCGAACAAGCUUGAAAGAAUUUCUCAAUCAACGCCCAGGAAUCACAAGCCACUUCUAAAUUCUGCCAUACUAGCUUCUGGAAAUUUUUGCAACUAAAGAAUUUUGACAAAAUUUCUAUUCUUCCCUCAGAAAUCACACAUCCAAACAAACUUCUCUCUCAAUUUUUUUUCCUUCCAAAGGAAAAUCCCUGCCCCCAAAAGAGGUAAUAAUCACAAAUUACCAAUCCUCCUUAGCCCUUAAACAGUUAAAACCCCAAUAUUUAGUUGGGUUUCCAAAUUAACUGCAUGUUAGCAGUAACCCACUUCCAGAACAGCAAAACCCUUCAUUGGGUUGCCAAAAAGAAUACCAAGGAAGUUACAGCAAAGCAAUCUACAGAUACUCCCCCCAUAUUUGAGAAAAAAUGUCAAAACCAAACUGCAAACCCAAAAAUUUUCUCCACG
rnacentral:misc_RNA from 1 species